rnacentral:rRNA from 1 species
AACGAACGCUGGCGGCAUGCCUAACACAUGCAAGUCGAACGAGACCUUCGGGUCUAGUGGCGCACGGGUGCGUAACGCGUGGGAACCUGCCCUUAGGUUCGGAAUAACUCCCCGAAAGGGGUGCUAAUACCGGAUAAUGUCUUCGGACCAAAGAUUUAUCGCCUUUGGAUGGGCCCGCGUUGGAUUAGCUAGUUGGUAGGGUAAAAGCCUACCAAGGCGACGAUCCAUAGCUGGUCUGAGAGGAUGAUCAGCCACACUGGGACUGAGACACGGCCCAGACUCCUACGGGAGGCAGCAGUGGGGAAUAUUGGACAAUGGGCGAAAGCCUGAUCCAGCAAUGCCGCGUGAGUGAUGAAGGCCUUAGGGUUGUAAAGCUCUUUUACCCGGGAUGAUAAUGACAGUACCGGGACAAUAAGCUCCGGCUAACUCCGUG